rnacentral:rRNA from 1 species
GACGAACGCUGGCGGCGUGCUUAACACAUGCAAGUCGAGCGGUAAGGCCCUUUCGGGGGUACGACGAGCGGCGAACGGGUGAGUAACACGUGGGUGACCUGCCCUCAGCUCUGGGAUAAGCCUGGGAAACCGGGUCUAAUACUGGAUAUGACUCCAUGACGCAUGUUGGUGGGGUGGAAAGCCUUGUGCGGCUGAGGAUGGGCCCGCGGCCUAUCAGCUUGUUGGUGGGGUGAGGCCUACCAAGGCGACGACGGGUAGCCGGCCUGAGAGGGCGACCGGCCACACUGGGACUGAGACACGGCCCAGACUCCUACGGGAGGCAGCAGUGGGGAAUCUUGCGCAAUGGGCGAAAGCCUGACGCAGCGACGCCGCGUGAGGGAU